GUCAGUGCAACUCCUAGAACUGUCCAUCCGGGAAGAGACAGAUGAGCUUCAGCAGCCAGCAUAUCUGCUCCACAGAAGGAUAUUCUCCGAUCUUAGAUCUUAGCUUUUCCUGUUGGGCUACCGGACAAUAUGUGAGAUGUCUGCAUUCUGUCAAGGGCUGGGCAAAUCAGUUUAACUUUUAUAAAAAUGGGUGACACCAAAUAUGGGAAAAGGCGCAAAAGAGAACCUGUUUUUCCUUUUACAGGCUUUGUUAUUGUUGCCAUCUGGUGGCCAGUUCAAGGCUUUAGCAAUUAUGGUAGGAGGGAGAGUGAUGGACCAGAAAAUGUUGUUGUUGUUAAAAUGAACAUUCAGAAAGGGCUGGAGGUGUUUCUUUUUAUCCAUGUUUAGGCAGAUUAUAUAUUUUUCGCUCCAUAAGACGCACCUGACCAUAAGACGCACUUAGUUUUUAGAGGAGGAAAACAAGAAAAAAAAUAUUCUGAAUGAAACAGUGGAUGUAUGAUUUUUGUGGUUCAUGCUAUGGCCACAGACCUGAUGGUGAAUUUGGGGUGACCCAAUGCAAAAAUCCUGAGGAUCCAUGUGGAUCCGUGUUUUGUAACCCCGUUUUUGCGCCAUUGCGGCACCACGCAACAGUGGGUGCAUGAUUUUUUUGGUGCAGGCUGUAGCCAUGGACAUGCUAUGUGAUCUGAUGGUGAAUUUGGAGUGACCCGAUGUAAAAAUCCUGAGGAUCUAUGGGCUUUUACCCUCCUCCCCCCAGGCAGCCUCCGCUAGCAUCCCUUAUCUCUCUUCCAAUCUCACCAAUCAGCUGCUUCCUUUCAACACUCCUCUUGUUUGCCCUAGUGUCUUUUCCUUAGCUGGAGCAGUUUUUUGCUCCCCCUUUUCUUCUAAUUUCUCUCCUUAUUGCUUUAGUCCUCCUGUCCCCCUUCCCCGCCUUGCAAGUUUGCUGUCUUUACCUCCCCCCUCCCAGGCAGCCUCCUUGAUCUCUAGCAUCCCUUAUCUCUCUCCCCAAUCGGCAAACGAUCAGUGGCUUUGUUUCAACACCCGCUUCCCUCUUUCAAAAAAAAAAAAAAGAAGAAGAAGAAGAAGAAGCAUGAUCUUCCUUUUGCCCUUGGGCAAAAGGAGACACACAGACAUUUCCCCUUACUUUUUAGGAAGAAAAAAGUGUGUCUUAUGGAGUGAGAAAUACGGUACUUGGGGAAUUUGAUCUUUGCAGACCUUCACAUGUACUGGCCUGGUCUGCACCUCACAGACUAAGGUGAGAAUUGGAAGGUAGCCACUCAUCACGUUCCGUACUUCUGUCUGAAAUGCUGGGAUGCAGUUUUGUGUUAGCUUAUGUCUAUCAAAAUGCCUUUUAAAUCAUAUGUUUUGAGAGAAAGCACAUUAUUUAUUACUUACAUUUUCCCCCGCCCUUUCCCCCAGGGAGCUCAAGUUGUCUGACGUGGUUCGUCUCUAAUUUUAUCCUUGCGACAAGUCACAAGAACCCUGUGAGGUGGGUUAGGCUGCAAGAAGGUGGUGAGCCCAAGGCUGAUUUGAACCCAGCUCUCCCAAGUCUUAAUCUGCCACACUAAUCACUCGCCCACAAAGUCUCUCCGCACCAGAGAGAGUUGGUUUUCAUGUGGAUUAAAACAAAAAGCAGAUGAAUGCAGAAACAAACAGAACGGAACAGACUUGCGAGCACACGCAUAAAGUGAGAAAAACAGAUCUAUUCAUCUCUACCUAAAAGUGAUCUAAUAGGUCUUUUAAAUUUAGAAUUAAUCAUUUAACAAACACAGUUUUAAUAAGCUGAUAACACAGGCUUUGGGCUGAUAAACAUUCAAUGUCCUUUUAAAUGUGCUGGUGGGAGGGGGAUGUUGCGUUUGUUGUUGUUCUUGUUUUAUAAUGUCUUUUGGGUUCUCAUUUUGUGAACUGUCCUGUGAUCUUUGGAUAAAGGGCAGUGUGCUGGUCCUGGGGGGUUACUGUGUGGCGUGGUCCGAGUCCAGUCCGAGGUCAAGGGUGUGGUAUGGAGGCUGUCCGUCAAGGCUGAAGCUGGGUCCAAGGCAAGGAGUCGGGUGGGGUCAGGAACUCUGGCAGAAGAGCAGGACAGGGUGCCAGCAGGAACAGGUUACCACCAAUGUUGCUCCUCCCAACCUGGGACUGGGCUGGCUGGCCCUGAGGCAUAGGGCGGCCCCGGUCCACAGGUGACUUGCCUCUCCUGGCCUGGAGGUGAGCACUCCUCCUGCGGGAACUUAGUUCCCUCCACCUCUCUACCCUGAGCCUCUGCAGCUCAGGAGAGGCUGGAGGGUUACUGGACCCAGAGGCAACCUCAGCUUCCCCUGACAGGACUGAGAGAGGCGCACCUGCAGGCAAUGGGUCCUCAAUCACCUCAGGAGCCAGAGCAGACUCAGCUGGUGCCUGCACCUGAGGAUCCAGCACAGGUGAGGGCCCUUCAGGUUCAAGCCCCAGCCCCGGCUCAGCUGGUCCUGGAGGCGGGGACUCCUGUGCAGGCUGGGAUUCCUCAGGUUCAGCCUCUGAAUCCGAUUCCCAGGCCAUCACAGGCAGUACCUGCUGGCAUCUGUCUGUCUCAGAAGACAACAGAGGAGGGUGCCUUUGGAGGUGAAGUCAAACCUUUGGAGAGUUACAGCGCCUGCUGUGGCUGUAGAAACCGAUGUGGGAGAGACAUGUUUUGUUGCAGCUGGGGCAGAGGAAGGCGUCUGGAUGUGCUGCUGCAGAUGUACCAGGGCAUUUCUUCCCUCUGCGCUCCUCCCAGCAGUCAUUCCUUCUGUGGUCACUGCUGUGGAUCCACAACUUGACUGUCUGUCUCCAGGCACUGCCCGGCUGCAGAAUAUUGAGGGGGGCAGGCCUAGUCCCUUCACUCAAUUUUUUGGGGGAGCCUUGGCCCCUAUGGCCCCACAUGGAUGGCGUGCCUGUUUGGGGAGGGGAGGGGAAAGGGGGAAAACCUUGUUGUGCUACUGGGACCCAUAGGCCUAGCUUCCAUCUCCGUGCCUGGCCAUUGCUGUCAACUUAGAUUUGAAAAUAAGGGACCAGCAGCCUUGAAAAUAAGGGAUCAGCAGCCUUGAAAUAAGGGUUCAGCAGCCAAAAGAAGGGAUUUUCUGGGCAUAGGUAUGUUCAACUUCUGAGCCCCUCCGAGCCAAAGGCAGAAAGCCCAGCCAGCAGUCAAACGAAGCCUCAAGCAGUGGUUCCCACAGCGCAGCAACCCGGCAAAGGGGAUGCAGCAAGGAAAACCACCGUCACCUCUCGGCUGGGAAGCGCUGAGCAAAGGCGAGUCCCCAGGCAAUGCGGCCAAUUUGAUCGGCACAAGGCAUGCAAGCUCCACCCCCCCAGUCAUUCUUAGACUCCUUAUUGGGUGAGCAACGCAGCCAAGCAACACAGUUGGAGCCUCCCUCCUCCCUGGCCGGCAGGGAGGGAGGGAGAGGAGCUGCUUCCUUUGAAACCGGGGAAAUUUAAGGGACAUCAUCAAUAAGGGACAGCAGCGGGACACAGUGCUGGGAUAAGGGACUUUCCCGCCAAAUAAGGGACGGUUGACAGGUAUGUGCUGGGCUAGUUGAAUCGGGGCCACAGAGCCAAAUUUUGAGGAAACUGAUAAUUUAAGACACAGUCACUGAGCUGGAAGAUAUUGUGGGGUGCUGGGGAUCAGACAGAAAGCUUUGAAUCUCCUUCACUGACUCUUUGACUUUACAGCCUUUUCGCCUUCCCCACCCUUAUAACUUUGCAGGCUGUAACUUACCCCUUUCCUGGAACACACCCAGACAAGAAGAAAACUGCUUUUAUAUUCCGUUCUUGCCUCUCAUAAUAAUUUUGCACCAGGUUUGGUUUCCCUGCGCUGAGUUUGUCACAUUUCCGUGGCCUCCUAAUUAAUCUUUGUUACUACAUUUGGAAGAUUGUGCUUCGCUCCUUAUCAGAGCUGUUCCUGAUUAUUUUUACACAGAGCUAACCUUUACCAGCUUGGCUUAUUAAUAGCACUGAUUAACUGUUACACGUAGCUAGCUCAGCUUUGUCCUGGGGACAGAUUUCAUUUUAAUAGGUUCCAUUUCAUUUCUCCUUAUUUUCUUUAUUCUUGGGUGAGCCUCAGGCUCCGGUAUUUUAUUUUAAGGCAGCCUUUGCCAACCUGAUGUUGCCCAGAAAUUUUGGACCACAACUCCCAUCAGCCCCAGUCCGUAGGGCCCAGGGGCUAAUGCAGCGGUGUAGCUAGCCACUCGGGUGCCGGGUGCGGUGUGCGCAUUCUGCAGCCAGGGGCGGGGCGAGCCGCCCAUGGGGCAGGGUGCGUUGCGUGGAGCCUCUUCGCCACCACCCCCUCAGCUGUAGGGCAGCUGAGGUAGAAGCAGGGCGCAGACACAAGCCUCACGCUUCCGUUUCAGGCUCCCAAGGCCACCACACCUGAAAUAUACUCGGAGUCGAGUGUGGAUUUCAUGCUCUUGAUUCAGCUCAGAGUAGUGAGGAAUGAAUUUCCCCCAGAAUGUCUGCUUUAUAUACAUUAUUUACACAAUGGGCCCCACGUGAUUGGCUAAUUCUGGGAUUCUCCUGUAGGCCAAUCAGGUUGUGGAUUCACUUCCACCCAGAGUUGGAUUGGGUGGCUCCUGCGGACCAAUCAGACUGCUGCAUUCUGGAUCCUAUUGUUCUAGGACCAAUCAGACUGCUGCAUUCUGGAUCCUAUUGUUCUAGGACCAAUCAGACUGCUGCAUUCUGGAUCCUAUUGUUCUAGGACCAAUCAGACUGCUGCAUUCUGGAUCCUAUUGUUCUAGGACCAGUCAGACUGCUGCAUUUUGGAUCGUAUUCAACUCAGUACAUAACAACAUCACUCCCAGGAGAGACGCGUGGCUCUGGCAUGCUGCCGGCCCCCGCGGUGUGGCACCCAGUGCCAGCCGCGUUUCGUUACGUUUCUUGACUGAACUAAAAAGUUUCGUAAGCCCAUUUAUUUCAAACUCAUGUUUUUGUCAUUUUGUCACACACACCCCUCAGCGAUGAUACCCAGGGCGCACCCCCCGCACCCCCUUCCUCCUGUACUGGGCUGAUGGAAGUUGUAGUCCAAAAGAUCUGGAGGGCACCAGGUUGACGAAGCCUGCAGGAGCUUCUUUGUGGACAGCUGCUGGUUGGAAUACCAUUUCAUUACAGUGGUACCUCGGGUUAAGAACUUAAUUCGUUCUGGAGGUCUGUUCUUAACCUGAAACUGUUCUUAACCUGAAGCACCACUUUAGCUAAUGGGGCCUCCUGCCGCCGCCGCGCCGCCAGAGCACGAUUUCUGUUUUCAUCCUGAAGCAAAGUUCUUAAUCUGAGGUACUAUUUCUGGGUUAGCAGAGUCUGUAACCUGAAGCGUCUGUAACCUGAAGCGUCUAUAACCCGAGGUAGCACUGUACUGCCAUCAUUGUUGUGUAAUUGUCCCACAGAUUUUAUUUCUGCUUUUUGGUUGCCCCCAUGCAGAAAGGUGCAUCACUGCAUUGGCAUAAAGGAGCGCAUUUCUGUUCUGAGCGCUUGAUAAUUCACGUUUGAGUAUGAUGAACCACACAUGUGAAGAGGAUGAUACCUGUGUGUCAUGACCUGGAACCCAGCUAAGAUGCCUUGACCUAGGGCAGCUGGCAAGACCCUCAGGUGAGUACAGCACACAAACUCUUCCCCUAGAUGGUACAUGUUUCUGACACCUGAAAGCUAUAACCCUGAAGUGUGCACAUCAUGUACACAGCUGACCCCAGCCUCCUGAGUGCUGAGUCCACAUAAACAUGUUCUCACAGCCACAACCGAAGUGUAUCUACAGUUGAUUAGCCCUCAAGGCAUUCCAUCAGUUGCAACUACAAGGCCAGUUAUGCUGGGCCUGAGCUGGAGAAGUAACAGUAGAAGUAAAGGUAAAGGUAAAGGGACCCCUGACCAUUAGGUCCAGUCGUGACCAACUCUGGGGUUGUGGCGCUCAUCUCGCUUUACUGGCCGAGGGAGCCGGCGUACAGCUUCCGCGUCAUAUGGCCAGCAUGACUAAGCCGCUUCUGGCGAACCAGAGCAGCCCACGGAAACACCAUUUACCUUCCCGCUGGAGUGGUACCUAUUUAUCUACUUGCAUUUUGAGGUGCUUUUGAACUGCUAGGUUGGCAGGAGCUGGGACCGAGCAACAGGAGCUCACCCCAUCGCGGGGAUUUUAACCACUGACCUUCUGAUCGGCAAGUCCUAGGCUCCGUGGUUUAACCCACAGCGCCACCCGUGUCCCUUAACAGUAGAAGUAGACCUGACUUAAACAUGUUUUUUCUGUGUGUGUUCCUAGCCAGCAGUGACGCGAGAGAGCAUGUGUUUGCUACAGUUGUAUAAAAGCUUUGUGUAUCCUUUCUUUGGGGCUCGGUUCUUUUCGAGAUAUCCAAACCGAGACUCACUGCUGCAGCUUUGAAUAAACUCUUUUCAACUUUCCAUCCAGUGGCGUAGCGGCAUUUCUGGUGCCCGGGAUGUGUGCUUGCAUGCACUGGGCAGAAGCAGGGCGCAGAGGAUGAACGGAGCCUGCCAUGCCAGCCCUGCCCUCACCGCCAGAGCCAAGCGGGGCCACCUGCCCACCUGCCCAGGGGGUAGCCCAGCCAGCCAACACGGUUUUGGCGGGCGAAUCCCCCUGAUGCCCACAGAGAGGAAAGCUGGGCCGGGCUACACUGGGGUCACCCCUUGCCACGUCCUUCCGUCCACACCCGCUCACUGUCCAAGCAAGGAGUGAGCGAGCACUGGCCAGGCGGCCAUUCAGUGAGGCGACCAGGGAUGCAAGACGGUGAGGCCUAGCCUGGCUCCGGGGCCCAGAGAGCCCCAGCGGCAGGCAGAGUAGGAUGGGGGGCCCUGGUUUGUGACCCCUCAAAUUUGUGCCACUCCCCCAUUUCCACCCUUGGUCACUUCAUUUAGCUGGUGAGGGGCAGCAUUUUGUAUUUUGUUCCAGUAACAAGGAUGUUCACAGCUUAAAGAGAAGUGUGGAAAUACCCUGAAGAGAAGACCUUAGAAGAACUCGCUUCUCCCAUGAGCAGUACAACAAAACAGUAAAUGGUUAUUCAGCCUAGCAGAACUCUGUGUUUGUUACUGAUGCUGGCGACAGGACAGAGCACGUAAAUGAUAAUUAAUGGCUCUUAUAUGGCUUAUUAAACAGAGUAAUUCUAUUGAACUGUCACGGAGGAAAACACAAUUCAACAGGCAAGUUGCCAUGUCUCUUCCGAUGAAGUCAAUAAAUCCUGCAAAUGUUAAGGCCAUAGCAGUUACAACAGCAGGAGAUAAAGGGAGGUAGAUUUAAGAAGCUGAAAGCAACCGCUUUCAUAAUAAUUAAAAUUAUACUCUUUCAAAACUGCAAAACAGCCUCCAGAGACCCUGAACAAGUCUGAUCUUGCAUUUACGGCUCAUCUAACAUGUAGUGGAGUGGUUUAAAUAAAUUGAUGGGUAUUUUGCAGACCUAAAGAUCCAGCGUAAAUGAGAUUUGACACAAGGCAGCUGAGAUCUGAAUGGAAAGGAUUACGACUGAAGGAGGGAUGUCUAGGGAUGUCUAGGGAAAUCCAUGCCAUUUACAUUCUGAUUUCAACUGCCUUCAAAACACAACGGUCCUUUGCAAUUUGUACUUUGCCGAAUUGUCUGACGCAGUUCUCUGACCCAAACCGCGUGUGCAUUGUGGGGAGAAUCCUUGCAAAAAUAUGUCCAUUUGGCACAAACGCAUGUGGGAACAUGCCUAUUCGAAGGAAUUGCGGGUGAAAUUUUGCCAACACAGGCAAAAAUCCCUGAGAGGAGAUAUGAUAGCCAUCUUAAAGGCUGUCACACGGAAGAGGGAACAAAUUUGAAAUCUGAAAUUUUUAUGUACAGAUGUUUAAAGUUUAAUUUAAAAAAUUGAUACACACAUACAAAAUGCAACAUGGUUCCCAGUCUUUUAUCCUGAAAGCGUCCUUGGUUGCAAACCCAGAAGAAGUAGCUUGUUCUCCCACGCCUUCAGCCCUGGAAACAACACCACUUAAAUCUGACAUUUUGCAACGUGUUGCUGCGAGAGCAGCUGCAAUCGCUCUCUCCCUUGUUACUGUCAGAUGCCAAGAGGCCUAUGAGAGAAGGAAGACUGGACGGGCGCCGGAGAGAUGGAUAAUAAACUCAGCGUGGCGCCCUUUAUGAGGACUUUGCCAGCUUGGUGGGGAGCCGCUGAAAGGGGAAACGAUCGCCUUGGGGCCAUUCGCCUCUUGACAGGACUGCGGGACGGAAUUAGAAACAUGUUAUUAGCAAGCACCUCCUACCGAAGGCAGCGAUGGCUGCAGAAUGGGCUUCUCUGGCUGAAGACAUCUGCAAAGGCUGCAGGGGGAGAGACCUUUUAGGGAUUGCUGUCAGCAAACUACUGUUCAGUUUUCCUGGUGGGAUUUCCCCCCCAAAAAAACCUCUCAAUUUUCUUUUAAAUCUCAAAAUAAGACUUGUGCAGGAAAAGUGUUGCUAGGAUGUUUUGUCCCUGGCUUGCCUUUUGUUACAUCCCUCUUGGUUUUUAAAAGCGGAGGCGGGUUAAUCAGAAGUGACUUUCCAGGUGGGCUGGAACCACUAUGCCAGCUUCUGGGCAGGUGUGUCACUGUCAAAAAACCAAAGUGCUGCACCAACAAGUACAAAAUAACCCCUUUGCAGCGCCACAAAUCCAACUCAAUAGUGUAACGUUGGAAAAUGUCAAUCACUUCUCCUACCUAGGCAGUUAUCUUUCCACAAGGAUCAACACUGAUGCCAAUAUCCAGCAUCCCCUGAGCUCUGUGAGUGCGGCUUUCUCCCGAUUGAAGUGCAGAGUGUUUGAGGACCGGGACAUUUGCAGGGAAACCAAAAUGCUUGUUUACAAAGCUAUUGUACUCCUAAACUUACUGUAUGCUUGUGAAACACGGACCACUUACAAACACCAUCUCCAGCUCCUCGAAAGAUUCCAUCAACGGUGUCUCUGAAAAAAUUUACACAUCACUUGGGAAGACAGGCAAACUAAUAUCACUGUACUGGAAGAAGCAAAGAUCACCAGUGUUGAAGCAAUGAUUCUUCAACAUCAACUUCAUUGGACUGGUUAUGUUGUGCGGAUGCCUGGUGAUCGUCUUCCAAAGAAACUACUCCAUUCUGAACUUAAAAAUGGAAAGCGUAAUGCUGGUGGUCAACAAAAGAGGUUUAAAGAUUGUCUCAAGGCAAAUUUAAAAAAAGUAGUAUAAACACUGACAACUGGGAAACACUGGCCUGCGAACGCUCCAGUUAGAGAACAGCCUUUACCAAAGGUGUCAUGGGCUUUGAAGACACUUGAACUUAGGACGGAAGGGAGAAACAUGCUAAGAGGAAGACACGCUUGGCAAAUCCACACCGUGAUCAACUCCCACCCAGAAACCAAUGUCCCCACCGUGGAAGGACGUGUGGAUCCAGAAUUGGCCUCCACAGUCAUUUAUGGACUCAUUGUUAAAACUGUGUUUAUGGAAGACAAUCUUACUUGGCUACAAGUGAUCGCCAAAGAAGAAGAAUGCUUUUAAGGCACCCCAUGCUCCCGACUGGAGGAAAGGCAAAAUGGGGGUUGUGAUGCUCAUCUCGCUUUAUUGGCCGAGGGAGCCGGAGUACAGCUUCCGGGUCAUGUGGCCAGCAUGACGAAGCCGCUUUUGGCAAACCAGAGCAGCGCACGGAAACGUUGUUUACCUUCCCGCUGGAGUGGUACCUAUUUAUCUACUUGCACACUGAUGUGCUUUCGAACUGCUAGGUUGGCAGGAGCAGGGACCAAGCAAUGGGAGCUCACCCCGUUGCGGGGAUUCGAACCGCAACCUUCUGAUCGGCAAGCCCUAGGCUCUGUGGUUUAACCCACAGUGCCACCCGUGUCCCACAGUAUCAUCCAAAGGUCCCCUCAAUUCUCCUAAGAAGAUGGUGCCUCUGACAAACAGGGGGAAGUGUCUGGGGUGCCCCACUCUGCCCAACAAAAUACCAAACUCUCAGUGUAGUAAUUUUGUUCUUUUUUAAAAAUUCGCUGUUCCCAUUUAAACUCCUGAUAACGAGGAAAUGCUCUCGUCUACAUAACCUUCCCUGCAUUCUCUCGCACUCUCCUGGGCCUGCGUUUGAGAGAGCUUGAACUCUGCAGGAGUCUUCUAAGGCAACGAAGAAGAGCGCAUUGCGGAAAUCAGAACCGACAGAUCCAGGGUGCCUUUCACCUACAGCUAAAAUAUUUAUUGUAUCCGUUUCUCUUCCACCCUGCCCGUCGCGCUCUGACAGGAUAAUGCUUUAAAAGCAGCGCAUCUAUAAAACGAGGGUAGAACAUCCCAAUCUCUUUAUUACGUGCCUAGGCCUGAUGGCCAAACUUGACUUUGACUAAAACUCUUAAGGAUGUUCCCCAACAAUUUCCACCGUCACUCAUGAGUGCGAUUCAGUGAAAGCACUUCCCCAUGAUUUGAGGCAGGGGUCUUUUCUACCUGGUGAUGCCAGGGGUUUAAAUUUGGGCUUUCUGCAUGCAUCUAAUGAAGCAGAAUGAGGCAUGGAAAAUCCAGUACAGUGGUACCUCGGGUUACAGACGCUUCAGGUUACAGACUCCACUAACCCAGAAAUAGUACCUCGGGUUAAGAACUUUGCUUCAGGAUGAGAACAGAAAUCGUGUGGCAGCGGGAGGCCCCAUUAGCUAAAGUGGUACCUCAGGUUAAGAACAGUUUCAGGUUAAGAAUGGACCUCCAGAACGAAUUAAGUUCUUAACCCGAGGUAAAGGUAAAGGUAAAGGGACCCCUGACCAUUAGGUCCAGUCGUGACUGACUCUGGGGUUGUGGCGCUCAUCUCGCUGGGAGCCGGCGUACAGCUUCCGGGUCAUGUGGCCAGCAUGACUAAGCCGCUUCUGGCGAACCAGAGCAGCCCACGGAAACACCAUUUACCUUCCCGCCGGAUCGGUACCUACUCAUCUACUUGCACUUUGACAUGCUUUCGAACUGCUAGAUUGGCAGGAGCAGGGACCGAGCAACAGGAGCUCACCUCGUCGCGGGGAUUCGAACCGCCAACCUUCUGUUCUGCAAGCCCUAGGCUCACUGGUUUAACCCACCCGCGUCCCUAACCCGCGCUACCACUGUAUAAAUCAACCACUAUUGCAUCAAUGACUUGUCGCAGAAUACAUCUGCAGAAAGACACCAGUCUGCAGAGGUCCAAAGUUAAGAUUCCAGUCCUCAUGAAACAUAUGUUUAUUCAGAGCUUGACGUGUAAGCACCAGACUUUUCAUUAAAAGCAGUCUGUUCCCGGAAGCCUGUUGGAAUAAGAAAGUCUUCACCCUCUGGAGGAAGGACAAGGAAGGAGCCAGUCUGGCUUCUCUAGGAAAGGAGUUCCAAAGUUGUCUGGGAGCUGCCACCAAGAAGGCCAUCUCUUGAGUCCUCACCAAGUGUGCCUGUAAUAGUGGAUGGACCAGAAGCAGGGCCUUUCCUGAAGAUCUCAGAGCCCAGGCAGGUUCAUAUGAGGGAAUACGGUAUUUUAGGAUUGCAGUAUUUCUGGGCCAGGUAAGUGGAUGCUGACAGUGUAUCCUUCCCUCAUCCUUUCACCUGCUGCAGCCAACUUUGACCCAUGAGAGGGGCCUUUCCUGCCAAUCACCUGGUGUCACAAUAAUGUCUUAAUAAUAAUAAUAAUAAUUUUCAUCAUUACGAUUUUUCCACAUUGAAAAUAACAAUCCAUUAAACUUCCCUUUCCCCCCUUCCAUGGUUUCCUCCAAGCUUCCAUUACCACAGCAUAUUCUAGUUAAUCCAUAUCUUCUCUCUCUCUCUAUCUACGAUUUUCAGGUUUAUACAGUUCAAUAAUUUUACAGUCAUUUUAACAUUUCAAAACUUGACUUCCUUCCUCAUCUUUCUGCGGUUCCUUAAAUUUAUUUUUAAUAUCUUCUGCAUAUCCAAAUUAACUUAAUUUGUUCGUUUAUUCAUCUACUUCAAAUAUAUACUCUUAUGAAACUGCAGGUUAUUACAAUAAUCUUGCCAGUGUUCUUAUCUGUUUACUAUUUGUUUGCAAAUAUUCAAUAAACCAUUUCCAUUUUUUUAUAAAAAGUUUGUUAUCUUGAUUUCUUAUUUUUCCAGUAAGUUUCACCAUUUCUGCAUAUUCCUUAAGUUUUUAUAUCCAUUCUUCUUUUGCUGGGACUUCUUCUUUCCAUAUCUUCUCUAUUUUGUUUUAUCUCAGCAUAACUUGUGCUGCUGAAUUGUAUGGUUAACGUUUUGACCUGUUUACAGUAAUUAUUCAUAUAUUCUACAAAAGUUUUCCAAUCCUCCUUGUAUAUUCUUCCCUCUUGUUCUCUGAUACUGCUGUUUAGACUCACCAAUUCUGCCUAUUCCAUCAUCUUCAACUGCCACUCCUCACUUAUUGGUUCUGCUCCUUCUUUCCAUUUUCCAGCAUAAAGUAUUCGUGCUGCCGUAGUUGCAGAAAGGAACAAGUUAUUUUGAUUCUUAGGAACCUCUGACCCAGUUAUACCUAAAAGAAACUCCUCUGGUCUCUUUAAAAAGGACUUUUGAAAUAUACUCGGAGUUGAGAGUGGAUUUCAUGCGCUUUAUUCAGCUCAUAGUGGUGAGGAGGAAUGAAUUUCCCCCAGAAUGUCUGCUUUAUAUACAUUAUUUACACAAUGGGCCCCACUUGAUUGGCUAAUUCCGGGAUUCACCUGUAGGCCAAUCAGGUUGUGGAUUCACUUCUACCUGGAGCUGGAUUGGGUGGCUCUAUGGACCAAUCAGACUGCUGCAUUCUGGAUCCUAUUGUUCUAGGACCAAUCAGAUUACUGCAUUUUGGAUCCUAUUCAACUCAGUACAUAACAACUGUUAAAACAUUUUUUCAUCCGUUGUAUAUCUCAGAGGGCUUUAGCUACCUUACAUGUCCACCACAUAUGAUGAAAUGUGCCUUCCGUUUCCUGACAUUUCCAACGGGCAACUGAUUCUGGUUUAUAUAUCCUUGCUAACUUGCUCUGUGUCAGGUACCAUUUGCCAUCACAGUGUCACAUGACCUGUUUUUUCAGGGUGUCAGGCACAGAAACUACACAAGCCUCAAUCAGCUGAUUGUCAAGGCUUGCAAAGUGUUGUGUGCAGGGAUUUGAAGGUGGCCCUGAUCAGCUGACUGGCGACACCAGCAACCCUCGCUUUUGCGCACACCAUGGCUUUAGCUGCCCCACACCAUGCAGGCCAAAUAGGGAGGCAUGCAUGGGGGCAAGAUGAGACCCAUGAGCAGAAGGACACCAGAACCUAAGAAGAUCCCUGGUGAUACACUGGGCUAGAGAUAAUAUCCAACUUUCAUACUGGGGAAAUUUAUGGAAAGAGGAAUUAAAAUUUACUGCAUGCUGUUUGUUGAAAGAAAACUAUAUGACAAUGAUGUAUCAUUGGUAUAUAACACUGAGUAAAAUUGCAAAAAUGUACAGAACGAGUUCAAAUCUGCGUCGGAAAUAAUAGUAAUAAUAAUAAUAAUAAUAAUAAUAAUAAUAAUAAUAAUAUUAUUUAUAUCCUGCCCAUCUGGCUGUGUUUCCCCAGCCACUCUGGGCUGCUCCCAAUUGAGUGUUAAAAACAAUACAGCAUUAAAUAUUAAAAACUUCCCUAAACAGGGCUGCCUUCAGAUGUCUUUUAAAAAUAGGAUAGUUGCUUAUUUCCUUGACAUCUGAUGAGAGGGCGUUCCACAGGGCGGGUGCCAUGACCGAGAAGGCCCUUCUCGGAGGAGGGUACUUUUUACCAUAUAUGGUGGGCAUGUACACUGGUAAAGGCUUUCUGGGAAAUGAUAUAUAAUGAAUUAAAGAAAAUGUGUAAAAAUACCUUUGUUAAAAAAAACCAGAAGGUCUUCUGUUAGGAAUAAUAGGUGAAGAGAAACUGAGAGAGGAUAAAAGACUUUUUAAGUAUGCAACGACGGCAGCGAGAAUGCUACUUCCCCAGAAAUGGAAGAAAGGAGAAGUGCCAACUAAAGAAGAAUGGCAGAAGAAACUGAUGGACUAUGCAGAGAUGGCAAAACCGACGGAGAAGAUCAGAAACCAGGAAGAUCAUUCUCCUGGGCAUAGUCGGCCAAUCGGUGUUAAAGAAGGACAGAACUUUCUUUAUGUAUGCUACAACAGCAGCAAGAAUACUUCUUGCAAAGCACUGGAAGACACAAGACCUACCCACACUGGAAGAAUGGCAGAUGAAAAUGAUGGACUACAUGGAAUUGGCGGAAAUGACUGGCAGAAUCCGACACCAGGGAGAAGAGUCGGUGGAAGAAGAUUGGAAGAAAUUUAAAGACUAUUUACAGAAAUAUUGCAAAAUUAAUGAAUGUUAGAAUGAUGUUGGAUUGAAGUUAAGUGGUUUCUAGCUGUAAUGGUAAAAGAAUAUGGAAAAAUUGGAUUUUCAAUAGGUCAAAACUUAAUGCUAUAAUAUAUUAAGAUUAAAGAUUAGGAUAAAAUAAGGAGGGAAAGGAAUUGCUGAACUAAUAAUUUGAACCGGAAUACAAAAAAGGGAGGCAUGAGGAGGUCCGGGAAACAAGUAAAUGAAAGAUAAGUGAUGAAAAGAUGGAAUUGUUUUUAAUUUUUUAUUUUUUUUGUAUUUUGUAUUUUUCUUUUCUCUAUUUUUCUUUUUCUUAUCAAUGUAAUCUUUUUUUGAAACUUUAAUAAAUAUCUUUUUUUUUUUAAAAAAAAAGAAACCAGGAAGAUCAAGUAUUUUCAAAGGACUGGAGUAAAUUCUUAAUUUACUUAAAAGACCUCUGUAAACAGUUAAAAUCAUUGGCAGGGAUGUAAUGACACUUGUAAUGUGGAAUUAACUAUUGUAAUUAUGGAUAUAUAACAGAUGGAUAACGGCAAAAGAUGCAAAAUAUUAAUAAUAAUCUUAAAUAUGGAACCCAUGGAGGGAGGGAAAGAGGUCCGAAGAUUCAAAAGAAUCUCUUAUUUUAAUGUUUGAAAUGGUUAAAGUUAAAAUGCACAAAAUUGUGUAAAACCAAGAAAAAAUAUUAUUUUAAAAAAGAAAAAAAUAAGAAUAAGAUCCCUGCGGGAUCAUCUCAAAGUUCCAUCAAGUCCAAUAUAACAUUUCCCACAAUGCACCACUAAAGACUCCAGCAAACCUACGAGUGGCACACACAGCUUUGUGACCUGAUGUGCAAAACUCGCUGGUCGAUUAUGCCGAACAUAAUGCAUGCAGAAAGGGCCAAUUUAGGGCAUUUGUACAUGCUGACGCUUCCUCAACUCUCUCCAGGAAAGGAAGACGGAAUAUAUAAAUAUAUAUACGAUGCCCAGAAGAUCUCGGCGUUUGCAUUGACAGCCCCACGGAGAUGUCAGCUCAGUGUGCUGCUCUGCUUAGCAAAGCGCGUAUAAUGCAUUCUGCCGAAAUUCAAAGGAGGAGAGGGAAUAGGAGGGGAAGCGUGGAAUUGUUGUGAUUGACAGGCAGGGCAGUGUUACCUUGAAGGAGAGUUUGCAAAGGCAGAGUGCCCCAGAUAAUGCCUAGAGUUUAAAAUACUGUUGGAAGACUUUGGAUUGCACAGGAGGAGCCCGGAGAAUUAUUUACUCGGAAGGAAGUUCUAAUGCAUCCAAAGGGGCUUACUCCUGUGUAAAGCGGUGUUAGCACUGCAGCUGAAGAAAAGCAAAGAGAACUGAGGCUGGAUGUUGGCAGCCUUCCUGCAGAUUUGAUGGGGGGAGCAGCGGUCUUUGCCUGUUUGGGUGUCUGAGCUGUGAAAUUGCCACGUGGGCUCAACCUGUAUUUCUGUAAAUGAAUACAAAAUAUUAAAACAAGGUUACCAGAUUUUUUUCAAAGAAUCCGGGGACACUUUGGGGUUUUUUUGAAUACAGAAAAAAGUUAUUUUAAAAAGUUAUUUUUUAAAAUAAAAAUAAAAAUAAAGAAGUAAUCUCUUCUGUGGUCUCAUCUGUCGCGCGGCCUUCCUCUGGGCCACGGCCUGCUCUCUUGGAGCGCUAGCCGCCAUGGAGUAGGCUUGGGUCAGACCUGGGCUCAGCCACAUGUCCUUGCCCUCCCAGUUCUCUCCUUCCUCUCCUCUCUAGCUGCGGUGGUGGUGGUGGCAGUGGUGCAGCAAGGUUGGGGCUCCCCUCUUUUUUCUCCUUUCUCUUUCUCUCUUCCUUCUCCUUCUACUCUCCUCCUUCUCCCUGCGUCGGCUCCAGGUUUUUCUUGGCCCCAGAGCACCACUGGGCAGUUGGCCGGGCACUCUCGCUCCUGGCUUGAUUUGGGUCGUGGGGCGUGUGUGUCAGUGGUUCCCCCAGUUGACACACCGGGCGUCCCCGGUUCCCCCUCAGCAGUGGCAGUGGCAGUCUCAGCAGCCUGGAGCCCGCCUGGUAGAGCAGUUGGCUCUGGCUGGCUUCAGGAGCUGCUCACUGCCAUGGCGCCCGCCAUUUUGCCUCACCGGAAGUCCCCAUAUGAUGUGUCUUGUGCCAUUGAACCAAUCACGCAACAUUCACUCCCUACUAAGAAAUCUACAACCAUUAAAAUAUAAAUCCGGGACAUUAAAUGAAAUCCGGGGACAUUCCGGGGACGAAUUUUGUCUGGGGACAGAUUUGUAAAUCUGGGGACUAUCCCUGAGAAACGGGGACAUCUGGUAACCAUAUAUUAAAAUGCCAAGGGGUCUGGAAUAACUUUCUUCCAAAGCACACCAAACCUGGUUCAGCACUACAGUCGUACCUUGGUUCUCGAACGUCUUGUGACUCAAACGUUUUGGCUCCUGAACUCCGCAAACCCAGAAGUAAGUGUUCUGGUUUACGAACAUUUUUUGGAAGCCAAACGUCUGACAUGGCUUCCACGGCUUCCAAUUGAGUGCAGGAAGCCCCUGCAGCGAUUCGGAAGCCGUGCCUUGGUUUUCAAAUGUUUUUGGAAGUUGAACGGACUUCUGGAAUGGAUUCCGUUUGAGACCCAAGAUACACCCCUUGGAUUUUUUGCCCCACUAGGGUGGGCCUACCAAUGCAUGCAAACUACUUUGCUGGAUGAGACUAAGGAACUGCCUCACCAGAGGGAUGCCUUCUUUCCUUGUGGCUGGACCAACCACCAGCCAAUUUUAAAUGGGUCCUAAAAAUUUUGUAUCAAACGUCAGGAUUGCUUGUUUCCUUGCUUGUGCUUUGUUCUAAUUAUCUGUUUGUUUCUAAUGUAUUUUAAUGAAGAUUUACUGUUACAUUGUUUUUUUCUUGCUUGCUCUUGCAGAAAAAGGCAGGAUACAGAUGUAAACAAAACAUAACUCAGAGUUUUGCACGAGAAAAAUAAUGCCAGCUGUUGUGCUGAAACAUUCAUGGGAAGUGAACUUUCUCCUGGUUACUUGUGGUCACAAGUAUUGGUCACAAGGAACCUCCAUUUGAAGCAACCUCUUCUUAUAAAUAAAGACAACCUCAUUCAGCUGCAGAA
rnacentral:lncRNA from 1 species